UACGUAGGGGGCAAGCGUUGUCCGGAAUUAUUGGGCGUAAAGAGCUCGUAGGCGGUUCGUCGCGUCGGCUGUGAAAACCCGGAGCUCAACUCCGGGCCUGCAGUCGAUACGGGCGGACUUGAGUGUUGCAGGGGAGACUGGAAUUCCUGGUGUAGCGGUGAAAUGCGCAGAUAUCAGGAGGAACACCGGUGGCGAAGGCGGGUCUCUGGGCAACUACUGACGCUGAGGAGCGAAAGCGUGGGGAGCAAACAGG
rnacentral:rRNA from 1 species